rnacentral:rRNA from 1 species
CCUACGGGAGGCAGCAGUGGGGAAUAUUGGGCAAUGGGCGCAAGCCUGACCCAGCAACGCCGCGUGAAGGAAGAAGGCUCUCGGGUUGUAAACUUCUUUUCUCAGGGACGCAGAAAGUGACGGUACCUGCGGAAUAAGCCACGGCUAACAACGUGCCAGCAGCCGCGGUAAUACGUCGGUGGCAAGCGUUAUCCGGAUUUACUGGGUGUAAAGGGCGGGUAGGCGGGAAAGCAGGUCAGAUGGGAAAACCAUGGACUCAACCUGCGGCCUGCAUUUGAAACUGGUAUUCUUGAGUACUGGAGAGGCAGACGGAAUUCGUGGUGUAGCGGUGAAAUGCGUAGAUAUGGGGAGGAACACCAGUGGCGAAGGCGGGCUGCUGGACAGCAACUGACGCUGAGGCGCGAAAGCGUGGGGAGCGAACAGGAUUAGAUACCCUUGUAGUC